rnacentral:lncRNA from 1 species
AUGCAGAUCUCUGUAAAGACCCUCACAGGCAAAACCAUCACCCUUGAGGUCCAGCCGAGUGACACCAGUGAAAAUGUCAAAGCCAAGAUCCACGACAAGGAGGGCAUCCCACCUGACCAGCAGCAUCUGAUAUUUGUGAACAAACAGUUGGAGGAUGGCCGUACUCUUUCAGACUGUAACAUCCAGAAAGAGUCCACCCUGCAGGUGGUGCUUUGCCUCUGAGGUGACAUUAUUGAGCCUUCCCUCUGCCUACUCACCCAGAAAUACAACUGCGACAAGAUGAUCUGCUGCAAUUGUUAUGCUAGUGCACAUCCAGAGGAAAGUCAUAUAAAUUAAGUGUGAUUAUUAUUAACAAUAG